UAUGUGAUCGUCUCUCGCAUAUCAAUAAGCGGAGGAAAAGAAACUAACAAGGAUUCCCCUAGUAACGGCGAGUGAAGCGGGAAGAGCUCAAAUUUGAAAUCUUAAGGGGUUUCCCUUUACGAAUUGUAGUUUAAAGAAGUGUUUUCUGUUGAGGUUUUGGUAAAAGUUCUUUGGAAUAGGACAUCAUAGAGGGUGAGAAUCCCGUAUUUGACCUUUACUUUCAACUUUGUGAUACACUUUCAAAGAGUCGGAUUGUUUGGGAAUGCAGUCCAAAAUGGGUGGUAAAUUUCAUCUAAAGCUAAAUAUUGGCGAGAGACCGAUAGCGAACAAGUACCGUGAGGGAAAGAUGAAAAGAACUUUGAAAAGAGAGUUAAACAGUACGUGAAAUUGUCAAAAGGGAAGCGUUUGACACCAGUGUUGUUUUUCUGAAAAUCAAUCAAAGAACUGUUUAUGCUAAGUUGUUUAGACUUUAUCAGCUAACUGUUUAGUUUUGAGCUUUUCUUUAAUGCACUUUUCAGUUAACAAGUCAACAUCAAUUUCUUUUGCUGUAAAAAAGCUUGAGGAAGGUGGCUUGAGAUUCGUCUUAAGUGUUUAUAGCCUCUUGCCUAUGCAGUCGGAGAGAUUGAGGUCUGCAGCGUAGAUCCUUCGGGGCUAAAUGCAUUUGUGCUAAGUUAUAGCAUUUUAUAGACAACUUGUUGACUAUGAUUUGUCUUGUAGCUUACUCGCUUAUGUUAUUUUACCUACGCUUAGGAUGUUGACACACGCGCGUGCUCG
rnacentral:rRNA from 1 species